rnacentral:ncRNA from 1 species
UUGCCACAACGGCUUCCUGACGUGGCAAUGUAAUUGAACUGGAGCA